rnacentral:rRNA from 1 species
UACGAAGGGGGCUAGCGUUGUUCGGAAUUACUGGGCGUAAAGCGCGCGUAGGCGGUGAUCUUUGUCAGAGGUGAAAUCCCGAGGCUCAACUUCGGAAUUGCCUUUGAAACGGGAUCGCUUGAGUCCGAGAGAGGAUGGCGGAAUUCCUAGUGUAGAGGUGAAAUUCGUAGAUAUUAGGAAGAACACCGGUGGCGAAGGCGGCCAGUCUGGCUCGGUACUGACGCUCAGGCGCGAAAGCGUGGGGAGCAACAGGG